CAGCCGCCGCGGUAAUUCCGGCGGCCCGAGUGGCGGUCACUAUUAUUGGGCUUAAAGCGUCCGUAGCCGGGUUGGGAAGUCCUCCGGGAAAUCUGGCCGCUUAAAGGUCAGAAUGCCGGAGGAUACUCCCAGCCUAGGGAGCGGGAGAGGCCGAGGGUAUUCCCGGAGUAGGGGUGAAAUCCUAUAAUCCCGGGAGGACCACCUGUGGCGAAGGCGCUCGGCUGGAACGCGUCCGACGGUGAGGGACGAAGGCCAGGGGAGCAAACCGGAUUAGAUACCCGGGUAGUCCUGGCUGUAAACGAUGCGGACUUUGUGUCGGACAAGCUAUGAGCUUGUCCGGUGCCGGAGGGAAACCGUUAAGUCCGCCGCCUGGGGAGUACGGCCGCAAGGCUGAAACUUAAAGGAAUUGGCGGG
rnacentral:rRNA from 1 species